AGGCUUUGGUUUCUCUUCAGAACGAAUACAUCUUUGGCCUUUUACUGCAGAUUUCUGUGGAGAGUACCAGUUGUUAGUAUUUUUUUUAUUUUUUA
rnacentral:snRNA from 1 species